AUUGAACGCUGGCGGCAGGCUUAACACAUGCAAGUCGAACGAGUGGCGGACGGGUGAGUAAUGCUUGGGAAUCUGGCUUAUGGAGGGGGAUAACGACGGGAAACUGUCGCUAAUACCGCGUACCAUAGGAUGAGCCCAAGUGGGAUUAGGUAGGUGGUGGGGGAAUGGCCUACAAAGCCGACUAUCUCUAGCUGGUCUGAGAGGAUGACCCGCCACACCGGGACUGAUACACGGCCCGGACUCCUACUGGAGGCAGCAGUGGGGAAUAUUGCGCAAUGGGGGCAACCCUGACGGAGCAACGCCGCGUGAGGGAUGACGACCUUCGGGUUGUAAAGCUCUUUUAAUCGGGAGACGGUACCGGAAUAGAAAGCCACGGCUAACUACGUGCCAGCAGCCGCGGUAAUAC
rnacentral:rRNA from 1 species